rnacentral:rRNA from 1 species
CACUUUCAACAACGGAUCUCUUGGCUCUCGCAUCGAUGAAGAACGUAGCGAAGUGCGAUAAGUAGUGUGAAUUGCAGAAUUCCGUGGAUCAUCGAAUCUUUGAACGCAAAUUGCACUCUCUUCGGAGAGUAUGCCUGUUUGAGGGUCGGUA